rnacentral:rRNA from 1 species
AGAGUUUGAUCAUGGCUCAGGAUGAACGCUGGCGGCGUGCUUAACACAUGCAAGUCGAACGAGCUCUGGUUUCGGCCAAAGCGAGCGGCGGACGGGUGAGUAACGCGUGGGUAACCUGCCCCAUACAGGGGAAUAACCGUGAGAAAUCACAGCUAAUGCCGCAUAAGCGCACAGUGCCGCAUGGUACGGUGUGAAAAGCUGAGGCGGUAUGGGAUGGACCCGCGUCUGAUUAGGCAGUUGGCAGGGUAACGGCCUACCAAACCAACGAUCAGUAGCCGGCCUGAGAGGGUGACCGGCCACAUUGGGACUGAGACACGGCCCAGACUCCUACGGGAGGCAGCAGUGGGGAAUAUUGCACAAUGGGGGAAACCCUGAUGCAGCAACGCCGCGUGAGUGAAGAAGUAUUUCGGUAUGUAAAGCUCUAUCAGCAGGGAAGAAACAAGACGGUACCUGACUAAGAAGCCCCGGCUAACUACGUGCCAGCAGCCGCGGUAAUACGUAGGGGGCAAGCGUUAUCCGGAUUUACUGGGUGUAAAGGGAGCGCAGGCGGCGAAGCAAGCGAGAGGUGAAAACCCGGGGCUCAACCCCGCGGAUUGCCUUUGGAACUGUUUUGCUGGAGUGCUGGAGGGGCAGGCGGAAUUCCUGGUGUAGCGGUGAAAUGCGUAGAUAUCAGGAGGAACACCGGUGGCGAAGGCGGCCUGCUGGACAGAAACUGACGCUGAGGCUCGAAAGCGUGGGGAGCAAACAGGAUUAGAUACCCUGGUAGUCCACGCCGUAACGAUGAAUACUAGGUGUCCGUG